rnacentral:rRNA from 1 species
UACGUAGGGGGGCUAGCGUUGUCCGGAAUCAUUGGGCGUAAAGAGCGUGUAGGCGGCCCGGUAAGUCCGCUGUGAAAGUCGGGGGCUCAACCCUCGAAUGCCGGUGGAUACUGUCGGGCUAGAGUGCGGAAGAGGCGAGUGGAAUUCCUGGUGUAGCGGUGAAAUGCGCAGAUAUCAGGAGGAACACCGAUUGCGAAGGCAGCUCGCUGGGACGUAACUGACGCUGGAGACGCGAAAGCGUGGGGAGCAAACAGG